rnacentral:rRNA from 1 species
UACGAAGGGGGGCUAGCGUUGCUCGGAAUCACUGGGCGUAAAGCGCACGUAGGCGGACUCUUAAGUCGGUGGUGAAAUCCUGGAGCUCACUCCAGAACUGCCUUCGAUACUGAGAGUCUCGAGUCCGAGAGAGGUGAGUGGAACUGCGAGUGUAGAGGUGAAAUUCGUAGAUAUUCGCAAGAACACCAGUGGCGAAGGCGGCUCACUGGCUCGGUACUGACGCUGAGGUGCGAAAGCGUGGGGAGCAAACAGG